CAGUCGUGUGUAUUAGCCAAUCAGUGAUGAGUACUGUAAUCUACGGAGUAGAUGGGUUGGACAAAAUCGAAACGAGAGACAAGAAAUAAUAAAUGAUGAGCGGAGCGAAGCAAAACACAAACUCGGUAAAGUAUUUUAAGCUAGCUACAGUUUGAUAAUUAGGGGAAAGGCCUGACGUGUUGCAUAUUUUUGUAACCCUGUAAAAUGGGAAGGUGAGCCUUGUUUGGAGUGGCUUUCUGUUGGUAAUUAAUGCAAGUUAACUUAACGUUAGUUGGCACAACGGCGUAACCAAGCGUGGACUGUUGCUAGCUGUUAGCUUUCACCCUCACAAGAGACCGAGUGUGUGGGGAAACACAUUUUGCAUCAACUUUCUGAUGUCCUUCUGAUGCUGCCCCACACUGCUACAGUGUCAGGACUGAAUUCCCGCUGCAUGCGAGGAGGAGCCAGCUUGCUUGCUGCACGCGGAUAAACCACACCACUGGACAGAGUGUUUGCAAGACUGUUCGCUAACAGCUUCCUGAUUUUACAAGGAACAGCCAUUCUGCUAUCCACAGCACAUUCCCCUGAAAAUACCUUUUAGGGAUCCUUUUCUCAGUGGCAAUGCCAUCACUCCAAUCAUCAGUCCCCUGAGUGCCACUGGGCUGUACCUUUUACUGGCAAGCAGGGAGACACUGGAAAUGCAUAUCAUGACUUGCUGCAAGGGAUCCCUAAUGAGAAUGUAUGAGACUGAUGUUUUCAGUUGGGAAAUAAAGACUAAAUAAACUAUAGGAAUUGUUUCAGUAUAAUAAUAGGUAAACUAGUCAGGAAACAUAAUGUUAAUGCAAAGCUUAUCACUGAAAAUAGUUUUAUCAUUUAGCAUUGCAAAGAACUUACAAAAAAGAUAUAAUGUAUCAGUGAAAUGUUAACUCGUCGACAAAAACUAGAAUCUCACAGUUGCCGUUGUCGAAAGGCUUUGUUUUGCUGCAGAUUUCUGUUAUGUUAUUUUCCACCCAUGUCUCUUUGGAUGCUGAGAAAUGACAACUCUGAUUUAUUGGCUUGCUUAUCAGGAAUUUUUUCUCAUUUUCUACAUUACAUUACAUUUGCUGAAUACUACAACUGCUCAGCAUGUAGUGUGGAAUUCUCACUGAAAGUGUAUUCUUAUCUAUGAAUGGCUUUACUUGUUAAUGAAGUCGUUGUGUAAAGACCGUGUUCUCUUAGCUUGAAUCAAACCAAAACAAUGUGCUGGGACGCAAGAGGAAUCUCUCAAUGUCACUAAUUAAUUUUCUUCUAUUCUUAAUUCCCCGAUAUCAAACAUAUCAGUAACUUUGUGCAUAUUUAUGUCACACUUUCGGUUGCAUAUUUUUUUCCUGUUAAUGUCUGAGUGAAAGAGCUUUCUUUCACAGAAUGCUUACAUCUUUAUAUAUAUGCUGUCUUAUUUCUGGUUUUAAGGAGAGGGGGGAAAUAUGUCAUAUUAUUUAAGCAGAAAAUGCCAUUACCAGACUAGUUCAAAACUAUUUCUUGUCAUUGUUUUCCUGUACACUGACAUGAGAAUUAAAUCCCGCCAUAAUCCUAAUCUAAUAACCUAACUCAAAUCCUAAUAUAUGACCAUUCAUGCAAGCAUACAUUUUCAUUUAAAAGCAUUAGUUUUGCAUGAGUUCCAUUAUUAGUAUAGCAUUGUGUGUUUUUACUUAAUCUUCUUGAAUGGAUAUUCAUUAUAUGAUAAAGGCCACCUCAGUUUGCCACAAAGUGAGGCCGUAUUCCUACAGUACCAUAAUAAUACUAUUUGUAUAAGCAAACUAUGCACACAUUUAUGAUCAGUGUAGAUGGUCCCUCUCUCUCUUUAUAUUCACUGUUGUGUUUUGAUGUAACAUCUUUAAAGAUAAUUUUAGAUGUAAACAAUUCCUCCAUUCAUAUAUACUUGGGGGAUAAUGAUGUAUUUAAUACUUGUAUUUGACAUGAUAUUGAGCGUUUUUAUUUAGUUAUUUCAUUAAAUUAUUUGUCAGUAUAAAUCUUCAUUUUUAAUACUGUAUGUUGAUGUUAAAUUUGGCACAUGGUUACUUUAUUUCAUGAUAACUUGUAGAUCUGUGAAUAUUAUUUUACAACUAAUUCUUUAAUAUAGGU